rnacentral:tRNA from 1 species
AACACAGAGCCUGAUUAAAGGACUAUUUUGAUGGAAUAGAUUAUGGUCAAUUUAUUGGCCCUGUGUUU